UGUUAAAAAUUACAUCUAUUUCUACUAUUAAAUAGCUAACAAAAUAACUAAAAAGUUACACGUGACGUGCCAUGUUUCCCUCAUUCUGACAUACAAGAAUCAAUUUUAACAAUAAAAAUGAAUGAAAAUUUUAACA
rnacentral:pre_miRNA from 1 species